rnacentral:tRNA from 3 species
GGGUGUGUAGCUCAGCGGACUAGAGCACGUGGCUACGGACCACGGUGUCGGGGGUUCGAAUCCCUCCUCGCCCG